UACUAGCGAAAAGCUUGAAACUCAAAGGACUUGGCGGUGCUCCAUACUCGACUUAGAGGAGCCUGUCCUAUAACCGAUGAUCCACGAUAAACCUUACCAUUUUUUGCCAUAUCAGCCUAUAUACCGCCGUCGCCAACUUACCCCAUGAGGGCUAAAAAGUAAGUACAAUAGUACAACAACUAAUACGUCAGGUCAAGGUGUAGCUAAUAAAAUGGGAGAGAUGGGCUACAUUUUUUAACAUAAAACACACGGCAAAGCACCAUGAAACUUGGUGCUCGAAGGCGGAUUUAACAGUAAGACAAGCAAGAAAGCUUGCCUUAAACUCGCUCUGGAGCGCGCACACACCGCCCGUCACCCU
rnacentral:rRNA from 1 species